rnacentral:rRNA from 1 species
UGGGGAAUAUUGGACAAUGGGGGGAACCCUGAUCCAGCCAUGCCGCGUGUGUGAAGAAGGCCUUAUGGUUGUAAAGCACUUUAAGCGAGGAGGAGGGUACUGGUAUUAAUACUACCAGCUACUGGACGUUACUUGCAGAAUAAGCACCGGCUAACUCUGUGCCAGCAGCCGCGGUAAUACAGAGGGUGCGAGCGUUAAUCGGAUUUACUGGGCGUAAAGCGUGCGUAGGCGGCUAAUUGAGUCGGAUGUGAAAUCCCCGAGCUUAACUUGGGAAUUGCAUUCGAUACUGGUUAGCUAGAGUGUGGGAGAGGAUGGUAGAAUUCCAGGUGUAGCGGUGAAAUGCGUAGAGAUCUGGAGGAAUACCGAUGGCGAAGGCAGCCAUCUGGCCUAACACUGACGCUGAGGUACGAAAGCAUGGGGAGCAAACAGG